rnacentral:rRNA from 1 species
GUAACGCGUGGGUAACCUGCCUUAUACAGGGGGAGUAACAGUCAGAAAUGGCUGCUAAUACCGCAUAAGCGCACAGAGCUGCAUGGCUCAGUGUGAAAAACUCCGGUGGUAUAAGAUGGACCCGCGUUGGAUUAGCUAGUUGGUGAGGUAACGGCCUACCAAGGCGACGAUCCAUAGCCGGCCUGAGAGGGUGAACGGCCACAUUGGGACUGAGACACGGCCCAGACUCCUACGGGAGGCAGCAUG